rnacentral:rRNA from 1 species
UACGGAGGGGGCUAGCGUUGUUCGGAAUUACUGGGCGUAAAGCGCACGUAGGCGGCUUUGUAAGUUAGAGGUGAAAGCCCAGGGCUUAACCCUGGAAUUGCCUUUAAGACUGCAUCGCUAGAAUUGUGGAGAGGUAAGUGGAAUUCCGAGUGUAGAGGUGAAACUCGUAGAUAUUCGGAAGAACACCAGUGGCGAAGGCGACUUACUGGACACAUAUUGACGCUGAGGUGCGAAAGCGUGGGGAGCAAACAGG